rnacentral:rRNA from 1 species
CCUAAUACAUGCAAGUCGAGCGCACUGGCCCAACUGAUAUGACGUGCUUGCACUGAUUUGACGAUGGAUACCAGUGAGCGGCGGACGGGUGAGUAACACGUGGGCAACCUGCCCUGGAGCGGGGGAUAACAUCUGGAAACAGGUGCUAAUACCGCAUGACUACUAAAACCACCUGGUUUUAGUAUAAAAGAAGGCUUCGGCUUUCACUCUAGGAUGGGCCCGCGGUGCAUUAGCUAGUUGGUAAGGUAACGGCUUACCAAGGCGAUGAUGCAUAGCCGAGUUGAGAGACUGAUCGGCCACAAUGGAACUGAGACACGGUCCAUACUCCUACGGGAGGCAGCAGUAGGGAAUCUUCCACAAUGGGCGCAAGCCUGAUGGAGCAACACCGCGUGAGUGAAGAAGGGUUUCGGCUCGUAAAGCUCUGUUGUUGAGGAAGAACGUGCGUGAGAGUAACUGUUCACGCAGUGACGGUAUUCAACCAGAAAGUCACGGCUAACUACGUGCCAGCAGCCGCGGUAAUACGUAGGUGGCAAGCGUUAUCCGGAUUUAUCGGGCGUAAAGCGAGCGC